ACGCUGGCGGCAUGCCUUACACAUGCAAGUCGAACGGCAGCACGGAGCUUGCUCUGGUGGCGAGUGGCGAACGGGUGAGUAAUAUAUCGGAACGUACCCUGGAGUGGGGGGUAACGUAGCGAAAGUUACGCUAAUACCGCAUACGAUCUAAGGAUGAAAGUGGGGGAUCGCAAGACCUCAUGCUCCUGGAGCGGCCGAUAUCUGAUUAGCUAGUCGGUAGGGUAAAAGCCUACCAAGGCAUCGAUCAGUAGCUGGUCUGAGAGGACGACCAGCCACACUGGAACUGAGACACGGUCCAGACUCCUACGGGAGGCAGCAGUGGGGAAUUUUGGACAAUGGGCGCAAGCCUGAUCCAGCAAUGCCGCGUGUGUGAAGAAGGUCUUCGGGUUGUAAAGCUCUUUUGUCAGGGAAGAAAAGGGUGCGGCUAAUAUCUGCGCCUCAUGACGGUACCUGAAGAAUAAGCACCGGCUAACUACGUGCCAGCAGCCGCGGUAAUACGUAGGGUGCAAGCGUUAAUCGGAAUUACUGGGCGUAAAGCGUGCGCAGGCGGUUUUGUAAGACUGUCGUGAAAUCCCCGGGCUCAACCUGGGAAUGGCGAUGGUGACUGCAAGGCUAGAGUUUGGCAGAGGGGGGUAGAAUUCCACGUGUAGCAGUGAAAUGCGUAGAUAUGUGGAGGAACACCGAUGGCGAAGGCAGCCCCCUGGGUCAAAACUGAAGCUCAUGCACGAAAGCGUGGGGAGCAAAC
rnacentral:rRNA from 1 species